AGAGAGAGACAUGCGUGCAUAUCAAUAAGCGGAGGAAAAGAAACUAACUAGGAUUCCCUCAGUAACGGCGAGUGAAGCGGGAAGAGCUCAAAUUUGAAAUCUUCAAGGUUCUACCUUGACGAAUUGUAGUUUAAAGAAGUGUUUUCUGUUGGAGUUUUGGUAAAAGUUCUUUGGAAUAGGACAUCAUAGAGGGUGAGAAUCCCGUAUUUGACCAUUAUUUCCAGCUUUGUGAUACACUUUCAAAGAGUCGGAUUGUUUGGGAAUGCAGUCCAAAAUGGGUGGUAAAUUUCAUCUAAAGCUAAAUAUUGGCGAGAGACCGAUAGCGAACAAGUACCGUGAGGGAAAGAUGAAAAGAACUUUGAAAAGAGAGUUAAACAGUACGUGAAAUUGUCAAAAGGGAAGCGUUUGACACCAGUGUUGUUUUCUCGAAAAUCAAUUAAAAAAGGCAGGAUUUUGUGUUGUAUUGACUUUAUCAGCUUUCUGCACUCUUUUCUUGUCUUUUUUAAUGCACUUUUCGUUUAACAAGUCAACAUCAAUUUCUUUUGUUGUAAAAGGGUCAUUGGAAGGUGGCUUUCUUUUCGGAGAAAGUGUUUAUAGCCUUUGGCCCUCUGCAAUCGGAGAGAUUGAGGUCUGCAGCGUAGAUCCUUCGGGGUUAGAUACAUUUGUGCUAAGUUAUAGCCUUUCAUAGACAACUUGUUGACUAUGAUCAGUCAUGUAGCUUACUCGCUUAUGCUAUUUUACCUACGCUUAGGAUGUUGAUGUGAUACUGCGAGCA
rnacentral:rRNA from 1 species